CCUACGGGAGGCUGCAGUAGGGAAUCUUGCGCAAUGGGCGAAAGCCUGACGCAGCGACGCCGCGUGAGGGAUGAAGGCCUUCGGGUUGUAAACCUCUUUCAGCGGGGACGCGGUACCCGCAGAAGAAGGUCCGGCCAACUACGUGCCAGCAGCCGCGGUAAUACGUAGGGACCAAGCGUUGUCCGGAAUUAUUGGGCGUAAAGAGCUCGUAGGCGGCUGUCCACGUCGGGUGUGAAAGCUCAGGGCUCAACCCUGAGAUGCCAUUCGAUACGGGACGGCUAGAGGUAGGUAGGGGAGAUUGGAAUUCCUGGUGUAGCGGUGAAAUGCGCAGAUAUCAGGAGGAACACCGGUGGCGAAGGCGGUCUCUGGGCCUUCCUGACGCUGAGGAGCGAAAGCUGGGGGAGCAAACAGGAUUAGAUACCCUUGUAGUC
rnacentral:rRNA from 1 species